AUGGCCGCGGUACUUUGACCGUGCUAAGGUAGCGCAAUCAAUUGGCUCUUAAUUGGGGUCAGGUAUGAAUGGAGUAACGGAGUUCGGCUGUCUCAAGAUUAAUAGUUUGAAGUUACUAUUUAGGUGAAAAAGCCUAAAAUUGGAAAAGGGACGAGAAGACCCUUAGAGUUUUACUUAGUCAAAAUAUAAGUUAGGUAUUUUUAAUGGUUUAGUUGGGGCAACAUAGGAGCAUAUCUCCUAAAUAUAAUUAACCGAUUAUUUUAAAUUUGGAUAAACUACCUUAGGGAUAACAGC
rnacentral:rRNA from 1 species